GAUGAACGCUGGCGGCGUGCUUAAUACAUGCAAGUCGAACGGAGACAGUAGCAAUAUUGUCUUAGUGGCGAACGGGUGAGUAACGCGUUGGUGACCUGCCCCGAAGAGGGGGAUAACAGUCCGAAAGGAUUGCUAAUACCCCAUGUGGUCGUUUGGAUUAGAUGCCUUAUGACUAAACGGAUUUAUUCGCUUCGGGAGGGGCCUGCGUCCCAUCAGCUAGUUGGUAAGGUAAUGGCUUACCAAGGCGAUGACGGGUAGGGGACCUGAGAGGGUGGCCCCCCACAAUGGAACUGAAACACGGUCCAUACACCUACGGGUGGCAGCAGUAGGGAAUAUUGGUAAUCUGGGAAACCGGGAACCAGCAACGCCGCGUGCGCGAUGAAGGCCUUCGGGUUGUAAAGCGCUUUUUGAGGGAUGAGGAAGGACAGUACCCUCAGAAUAAGCCUCGGCUAACUACGUG
rnacentral:rRNA from 1 species